rnacentral:piRNA from 1 species
UGGAAUGCAAUGCCUUGAAAAUAUAGAAUUC